rnacentral:lncRNA from 1 species
ACUGGCUCUAUCUUGAGUUAGUUAUCUUUGCAUCUUUGCUCCAAGUAUGCAUUUACCCGUGACUUGAAUAUGGAGCAAGAAAGACGAACCCGGAAUCAUAACGCCUGAGCGGAGUUGCCACAUCCGGUUUUCAGCGUAAAAGGAAGCUAGGUCACCCGGCACCAUAACAUGUUUACGUUUCUGUAACUAAGACUAGCUAAGUGUCUCGAUUCGCACCGUCGGACUCAGAGCAUUCAGUUUACAUUUCCGAAAUAAGCUAACCAGUUACCCACCUGGAAGAUGAAGUACUUUACUGUAGCACCAACUUUUUUUCAAGUUCCAAACUGUCUUAUGGAAGGCUAAGGGGGACCUGCAAAAUCAAGGUAGCUACAGUAAUAGCUAACUAACGUUAGCAAGCUUAGCUAGGCUAUUUGAUGUGAGCCACUAGUCUAUGACAAACAAUAGGCUACUCCAUGUACUGAUAAUUCAUGUUCUGCAAUCAAUGUGCCCUUGCAAGUGGCAUAUUUGCCUUCAAUAUAGACCUCAGUACAUAGCUGGUUAGUUAGAUGAUUUGGCUACUUGGUGGUACUCACUAUUCGCAUAUGUUGUGUGCCAAGUCUCAUUGGAUCUAACGUUACUGCAGUGAGAUGCAAGUUAGGCUUCUCAGUUAGCCUGAGGCUAGUUUGAUAAGCUGUAUGGGGGUAAUUCAGGACACAAAGCACCCAUUAGGUGUUGUGGUGUAAUAAACAGUCGUGUUUACAAGCAGACAUAGGGAAGUAGAGUGGGUGGACUCCCUUGGUCAGUUGGUGUAGGCCUAACGUUACACUUGGAAUCAACUGUAGUUACACCACUAUCUAAUAUUACAGAACCUCAGACUCUCACCAUUUUCACUGUUAUAAAAAGGACUUUAUAAAAUCAAUUGGAUUGAUAUGCUUCAGGAGAUAGGCCUGGUCAGCUACUUGGAAAUGACUAGGUCUAGCCUAACUUAAUUUAAAUUGACCCUGGGUGUCACCCAGAUAGCUAGUUUAGUUGGUGUGAGAUGGAUGUAGAUAUAAAGCCGGAGGAGGAUGAGGUGGAGAUAUCCCCAGCUGUCAUUUUGUCUGACUCUUUUGAUGCAAGUUAUUCAUAUGCUGAAAAUUUGUAUGACACAACAAAACAAAGCCUUAUUUGUGCUCUGUUAGAAGAUAGAAAAUCAAGUGAUACGGAGAUUAAAAUUAAUUCAACAACAGUUGGUGUUCCAGCUGUAAAUGUGGGUGGUAAAGGUGUUGUUCAUGUUCACACAGAACAGGAUAGCCCACGCACCUCUGUAGGGAAUUUAAUCAAAGAGGAGCCAUGUUUUUACAUAUCUCCCAAUGAUUUUCAGAUUGGAAAAGUAUGUACCUUUUCUCAGUCGCAGCAUCUAGUUGCAGAAAGUGUUUCUUUGGGAGGACAAAUCAACCCAACUGCACAGAUAUUUAGCAGCUUUCAAAUACAGCCCCUAAACAAUGAUCAAGUGCUGACUGAUUAUGUUAAUCUUCCAAGCCAAAGUAUUGCCAAACCGUUUCCGAUAAUUUCACCUGCAAUAGCAAGUGACAGUAAUUUAACUCCAGUGCUGCAAUCAUGUCAUAUGAGGACUCACAGGCCUAUUCUUCCAGCCUAUUGUAAACCAUUUAAUUUUACCUCUGCUCAAGAGGAAGACUACGACGUUAAAAUAAAAAAAAGAGGGAAGAAAAUGGUCAAGGCACAAAAAGGGAGAAAAGAUGGAGAUAUGUGGCGACAUCGUGUUAAUUACUCAAAACAUAUUUCACCAAGGUCGUCAGCUGGGAAAAAGUUGAAGGAUCCAUACUCCAACUGCAAGAAAAUUGGCUUGGAUUUCAAUGUUGGGUCUGGAUCCAAUCAGAAACUAGAUUUGCAGUUGCUGACUAAAGGUGUGAUGGUUGAGGUUUCUGAUUUUGCUAAAGAAGUUAAUAGAGCUCAGCAGCAUGUUGUCUGUGACAUUCUAGAGUACAACUUUGAUCUUGGUUUGCAAAAGCAUCAAAGGUAUGAUUUUGCGACACGUACUAUGCACAAAUUAAGAGAAUUGAUGAGAAAACGAAAAACUGUCCUAGGAAAACCUGAAUUGGUAAUGGAGGUGUUUACCCUUCCUGAUCCCAACACGAUAAAAGGAUCGAAAUAUGCCCUUUCAACUGCAAAGAAUUAUGACCGUGUGUCAGAAAAUCUUGAAACUGCUGGCACAUUUUUAAUGGACAAAUCUCAUCUGGACAUCGUAUCCAGACUUACUCACCAUGUCAAGACAGACAACCUGUUAACUGAGAAAGAUGUAACGCAGUGUGCUGGUGGAACGGCGUACAGCCUUGCAAGGGACCAAAACUGGCAUCUAAUGGCUUCUACAACGUCAAAAACAAUGAAGGACCCUUAUCCCCUCUGUAAGAAAAUAGGAUUAGAACUUGAUGUGAAAUCCAAUUUUGGGGCAAAAGAGAAACUUAAUUUGGAUUUAUUGACCAAAGGUAUAAUGAUUGAACUUGGUAAUUUUGCCAAAGAUGUUUGUGGAACUUACAAGCAAAUUGUCAUUGAUGUCCUAGAGCACAAUUUUGAUCUUGAUUUGCCUAUUGAGAAAACCAAGCUGUCUACCUAUAUUAUUACAAAGUUGAGACGAGUUGUUAAGAAAAUGACAUGCAUGGCACAUAGAAGGAAACCUCCAUAUUUAAAGGAAACAUUCUCACUGGGGGUUGGCACAAGAAAGAAACCUGCAGUGAUUUCCAGUAAAAUGCAGGUCAUUAACUCAAUUGACUCAAAUGUGUGGAAAUAUCAAGGACUGAAAAAAGUUACAGAAAGAAGACGAUUAGAUUUGAGAAGGAAAAAGGGAGAAAGAGCCACUUGCAAAGUAAGAGAAAUGAAGGCAGAGAAAUUUCAUAGAGGUAGACAAGUAGGCCUAGUUCCUCAGUCUGUGAAGAAACAGACCAUUUCCAACGAGACUGAACUCACAUUGUCAGCCGGAAAAAUGAAGGUCCCGGUCAGCAAAAUUAAAAAGGCAAAUGUGAUGCCCUUUGCAGAGAAAGUGGUGAAAAACUGCUACCCCUUGUGCAAAGAAGUAGGUGUGGAACUUGAUGUGAAAUCCAAACCACUAUCCAAAACAAAACUUGACUCACAGUUACUGACUAAUGGCGUAAUGUAUGAGGUUCAUAAGUUUGCAAAAAAUACAAAAAAGGCUUAUAUGUAUACUGUCUAUGAUAUACUGGAAUAUAAUUUUGAUCUAGAUUUGCAAAAUCAGAAACGCUGUCAAUUUGCCGUACAUAUUUCAUCUAAACUGAAACGAAUGGCUAAACGGAAAUAUGUCACAAAUGAAGACUUUUCAAAAGAAGUGUUUAUAAUACCUCUUGUGACUAGACAAUACAAGAAAAAAGAAGCUACUCCACCUGCAAGAUUGUCAAAAAGACAAUUGGAUUUGAAAAGGAUACAAGAGGCAAAUCAUACAGAGGAGAAGAGGAACUGUCAGGAGAUGGUUAGCAAGACCGGUUUGAAAAAUCUGGUCCCUGAUGCAAGGACUGUAGGGUCUCUGCAUGAUGAAGAGAUCAUCUCUAUCGAAACAGCUGAAACUGUCAAGCUUGGCCAAGAUAAUGGACCCACUGACUUCUGCUUAAAGGAGUCUGAUGUUCACUCUGGGGUCACAGAGCAAACCCCAUGCCCAGAGAACUACCAAGUUGACAUUUGCUGGAAAAUGAUCAAUGAAAUUGUUACGAGUAGUGAAAUGCAACAGAUGAGAUGGAUUUUUGUACCUUUUUCAAACUGUUUUGGUGUUGGGACUGGUUCGGAAAAGAAAUUUCAACAAAUCCUUGCUGAAUACAGAUCAGACAUCCUACCACUGGUAGUUGAGAAACAUUGUGGCUUUAGUUCCACUGAAAAGACAAUGAUGUGCCUUGUAAGUCAGCUCUUCUGUGGCUUACAUUUGAUUGAUGGCUUAGCUCACCAGGCAAAAACAACUCUUCUACUUUGGGAAAAUAUGAUUUUAGGAGAUAAAGAAGUAGGAGUCCAUAGCUCCCCUAACAUUGAGACAACAGAGUUGGAGUCUGGAACAGUGCGUUUGGUGAGUUCUGUGAGUGAUGCUGUGCAAGAGCUUGGAUGGGCAGAGGACGGUCAGCUUGUUCCGUUCGAAAGCUUUUUGACCAGCAAAAAAGAAUUUGAUGAAGUUCCUUUGUCUCUAUCCAUUGGACACAGAAUUGAUGGUCUGUUUCAUAAUUCUGCUGGAGUGUGUAGCAUCCAUGAUGAUUUGGUUGAGUUUACCAGUACGUACGGAGCUGAGAGUAGUUUGCUUGCUGCAGUUGUUGCUGAUUUGGAGGUUCAACAGUUCAAGGCCGGAUGCAGAGCUCUGGGUCUGGUUUCCAAGCUUAUCAUUGAUCCUCUCUGGAGAGCCUUAACUUUGAAGGGAAACGUGUUGGAGAUGGAAGAAAGAUACCAAACCCUUGUUACCAAACUCAAGGAAUGGCAGGAAGAUGGGAGAGACCUUGUUAAAGGAAAUGCAUGCUUGUUUGAUGACAUUGAGGUACCCAAGAACCUUGUGUUUGACAGGCUUACCAUGUGGACUGACACAGACUUUUUUGAGUUGACUGUUCAGAUUGUUGAGUUGAUCCUAGCCAGUUUUCUGAAGGUAUGUUCUAUGAUGCUUCCAGUCGAACCAGAGCUCCUGUCAAAGAAAAAUGAUCGAUUCAGGAAGGAUUUGGCAAUAUUAGAUCAAUUGCAAAAAGCUAAGUCAAAUGCAGUCAGUAUUGCCAUUGAAGGCAUGGACAUGUGCAAGAAGAAUCACACUUGGGAAUGGCUGUCCUUUUUGGAUGAAUCAAAAAUGGUGUCAAUGAGGAAAACAUUCCAGACAGUGUAGGCAAAGGAAGAAGAAAAGCUCUGCCACACCUGCAGAAGAAUGGAAAUGGUAAAGGAAUAGACAUGAAAGACAGAGUGAAUGAGUCUUUUAUUUGUUUAUUUAUUUAGAAAUGAACCACAGUAGGACUAUAGAGGACAGAACCUUUUUAUAACAGGUUUAACUUUGCCCCUGUAUCCUGGUGAUGACAUUGCCUAUACAGCUCUUUCAAAAAAAAUCCAUGAACGUGCUUUUCUUUCUAGCGCCUUAGCUUUUGUGUUCAGACUGGUGAAAGAUAAACAGCAAUGCAACCUCAGACAAUAAGUAGAUGCAAGUAUAAUAUAGUUACACUAUAUACCUAUUUUGUGAUAUAUUGUAUAGCCUAAUGAUGUUCAAACGCGGUGUCAGUAAAUGUUGAAUAACGCUUCUCCAUUUGGCACCACCUGUAGUUGGGAAUGUGAAUGGUUUCACGAGCUUACCUGUUUUUAUAUUGUUUAAAAUCCAAUUCAGAGUUUUUUUCCGAAGUGUGCUGUCAGGAAAAGUGUAGAGGCUUAGGCUCAAUAGUUGAAUUUGCAUAUUUCCUUGGCCUUCUUUUGAUACCUGGUCUUGUCUUUGAAAAGACUAAUUGAAUGAAAAAAAUUAUAAUUUUGAAAGGAGACCAGUCGUUAUUUUAGUGUUAUUAGCUUAUUUCUGGACCAUUUUCCCCCUCACUUUUUGUAUGACCAUUGAAUUGCCUACUUGAAUGGUCAACUUAAAUAGAAACGAGAUGGAGAGCAAGGCUCUGAAAGUUGUCAACUUUUCCACUGUCAAAAUGAAUCAUGCUUUAUUUUUUUAAAUACCUUUUUUUAAAUCAUAUUUUGGUAAUCCAUUUUUGAGAGCCUGUUUUAUCUCUAUAUUUUUGUUGGAGAUCAAGAUGUUUUCAUUAGGACAAAUGCACACUGGACUGCAGUGCUUUUCUAUCUGCUGCAGCAUUCAACCUUCCACAUUACUGUAGACUUCAGGAAGAACAUGCUUUUAGAUAUAAACAUCAAAUAAUUAGCAAAAGGCUGAGUUCCAGGUUUGUGAUGUCCACCAUGAGAGAUUCUCAUUAAAGUUGAACCAGUGACUAGUCUCAGAUGGGGAGCUGGACCUCUUGAAGACCAAGCUAGACUGGCAGGCCUGUGGAUCUCUUGUUCUGGGCUACUCAGAGGUGCUGCCAGAACUGGACCUUGGCACUAUCAAUUCACAGACUACCACCUACAGCCCGUCCAUACAAACCUGCACAUAGGACAAGUGCUGGGGUGAGUAUGUUUUAGUUUGUGUGUGUGUGUGUGUGUCCUUCGAUUCAUUUUGUGCAUGUAAGUAUUGUCUGAUCAGUUAUUGACCACUCAUUCUCUUCCUCUCUGUAGCCUCAGUCACAAAGUCAUCACUGAUGCUCUGACUGAAACUAGCCUACACCAACUGGUCUUUGCCAACUGUUCCACUAACCUACCGUAUGAUGUGCAUUGGAGUGCUUGCCUGUGAUUGAGAAAGCGUGUGAUGUAGCCUCUUCAACAACAGACUUGUGAACAGAACAUCCUUCCUGACACACAAGACAAGAGUUCUGAGGUCUUGUAAAGAGGGAUGAGAGGACUGCCAAUAGAUUAAACUGAUUCAUUACUUUGAUCAGUCCUACUUUCAACACUUCGUACUAAAAAUGUACUCUGAUUGCCCACUUAAGCUUGCAAUGGAUUUCAGUGGAGUUAAACAUGACACAUGCAGUGUCACUGUUUCGUGUGGAAGGGGCUACGAGAAGGGGUCGAUUUGGAAUUCAGCACUGUCCAUGGGUUGACCGUCCUGAACUUUUUUUUCCUUAAAUGUUUUGUUUUUGACAGUACAGCUGGAAAUGUAAAGAUUGAAACAUAGUAGGGGCAUAGACAGAGGGUGGCCGAGGUGGAGCCCAAUCCCUGUUGCCAGGGGGCCCAAUCCCUGUUGCCAGGGGGCAUAUCUGGUACAGAGUCGGGGAGCUUAGACCACUACACUAGACUCCGUCACGACUGACCUGAACUUUUUACCAGAAAAUAAAUACUAUGUUCAUCAGACUCUCCUCACUGUAAAACUCAGAAUGGUUGUGAGGUCACAGGGAAAAGACUGAUCUGAGGGACCACAGACUCACAAAACAUUGUAGCUCACUUGACUGGAAAACAGCUCUUUGUGGUGCCUAUGUCUGACAUGAAGUAAAAAUGAAAACACAACAGAAAAUUGCUCUCUACUUCCUACCACAAUCUUAUAUAUUGCAUACUUAGAAUAUGAAUGUGAUUAUUCAUACACUCAUAUUAGGCUUAUUUCUCUUUGGUUGGGGUGUUCAAUGGUUAAGUGGACUAGCUACCACUAUGGCAUUUUGAUGUUAUGGCGUCAGCUCUGGCUGGCUGAGAAGACAAGUAAAAGGGCUAAUAGUUGGCAGGGCAAUUUUUGUUUUUCCCAACUUUGUAUUACCGUAUCAAAUAAUUUAAUUAAGGUAGAAAAAUCACUUUAUAUCGGUGUUAUGCCUGUUGUUCAAGCGUGUAACUGCCCUCUCAUUCGCUAGAAUGGUCCCACCUGAUCUCACCUCCUCCCGACUUCCUUCCAUCUUUGAAUACAUGUAUUUUCAUUGUUAGAGUGGCCACUUGAGUAUCUUAUCUAUAUAAUUGUCAUGACUGCCACUCCUUGGUGAGGAUCAAAGGUGCCGGAUCAGCUAGGCCAAUGGCUGACAGAUAGCCAAACUCUCUCUCUCUCCUGGGGGAGUUGGCCCGGUUUUAUGAUUUAACGACCGGAUUGUAAAUACCUGGCAGAAACUCUCCCUUUGGCUCUGCAGUAUUGAAAGACUGAGUGUUACAGAGAGACUCUUGCUAAAAACUUUAACAUCAAAAGAUUGGACAUUGGAACAUUAGUUUUGAAAUCCAAACGCUUGGAAUGGUUGGUGGGUUUAUUAUUUUGUGAUAUCAUUAAGGAUGGUAUAACUAAGUAACAUUGUAACUUUAAGAGCUUUCACAAUGUAUAGAUCAGAUUUGCAUGUUGCAUGUUACUGUUGUGAAGAUAAAAUGUGAUUUUAGCCUUCUAAAUGAGAAUUGUUUUUCAUAUAAACUUUUGCUAAGUCAGUAACCACGCCCACGUGAGCACAGACUUCGUGUCAGCAUGAUGGAACACCCCUUUUUACCUAAGCAUAAAAGGACUCGUAACGAAAUUUACAUUAGACCAAAACAGGCCGGGUUGCUGCCGGUUUGUAAAGUGGUCCUAGCUGUACCCUGAAUAAUCAACCAUUGAGACCAGUCUACGUGCAGCGUGAGCUGAAUACGUUACCAAUGGUUAAAUCUCUACAGUUGGGUAAUUUAAAGUAGUCUAUGUAGAACAAUUGACCCAGACGGGAAAGAAGAACAAUUCCCUAUCACCACUGUGUGAUACACCUCUGAUGGAUCCAUUCUAACGAACACUCCAGAACAAAAGAAGCCUACAACUACUAAGGAAAUUGUGACCUCUGGUGGACCACCAGAGACUUACAUCGAACCACCACAUUGAACUAUCGAGUUCAACAGAGAGACGACAGAGAAAGACAUCUACGCGUAAAUAUGUAUUGCAUUCCUUUUCUGAAUGAGCGGGUGUUAGGGUUCCUAAUAUCCAUAUUUACAGUGAGUGUAUUUUUCAACUGUAUGUACGAUAAGUCCACUCUCUUUGUCUCUCCCGCUCCUUAUCUUUCCCCACCCCCUUUCCAUUGUGUAACAAGCUGUCAUAUCGGGUUAGUCCACUAGGGACUGUUUCAUUGCAUUAUGUUAGUAAUAAAUAAUCUACACUGUGUGUGUGUAUUUCUGUGUGAUUAUUUAGUGAGUUAGUAAAUAAAUAAGCCAAUUUGUGUAUCGCUGAAUCAUCACUUAGGCUAGGGUUCGUGCAGAUUUACG